rnacentral:rRNA from 1 species
UACGUAGGUGGCAAGCGUUGUCCGGAUUUACUGGGCGUAAAGAGCGCGCAGGCGGUUGUGCAAGUCGCGUGUGAAAGCCCCCGGCUCAACUGGGGAGGGUCACGCGAUACUGUUCGACUUGAAGGCAGGAGAGGGAAGUGGAAUUCCCGGUGUAGUGGUGAAAUGCGUAGAUGUCGGGAGGAACACCAGCGGCGAAGGCGACUUCCUGGCCUGUUCUUGACGCUGAGGCGCGAAAGCUAGGGUAGCAAACGGG